rnacentral:rRNA from 1 species
AUAAGUAGGGUGCAAGCGUUAAUCGGAAUUACUGGGCGUAAAGCGUGCGCAGGCGGUUUUGUAAGACAGUGGUGAAAUCCCCGGGCUCCACCUGGGAACUGCCUUUGUGACUGCAAGGCUAGAGUACGGCAGAGGGGGAUGGAAUUCCGCGUGUAGCAGUGAAAUGCGGAGAUAUGCGGAGGAACACCGAUGGCGAAGGCAGGCCCCUGGGACUGUACUGACGCGCAUGCACGAAAGCGUGGUGAGCAAACUGGAUUAGAUACCCUGGUAGUCCACGCCCUAAACGAUGUCAACUUGUUGUUGGGUCUUCAUUGACUCAGUAACGAAGCUAACACGUGAAAUGGACCGCCUGGGAAGUACGGCCUCAAGGUGGAAACUCAAAUGAAUUGACGGGG